GAGCACCGAGCCGAAUCGAAUCGAUGUUUGCGAUCGAUUCUUGACCCCUAGGCCAUGGGAGCUACUCUAUAUAAGAUCCCCAACUCCUCCUCGCACGAUUUUUCACAAAAUCUCCUACUCCCGUGCCCUGGAGCUCCCGAUCGGAUCUCGUCGGAGUUCCACCUCGAGGCGUUUCUGCUGCCGUCGAUUCCAGCAUCACCUGAGGGGGAGUACCGAACCGAGCGCUCCGAGCUCGUCCCGAAGCAGAUCACCGCCGCCCGAGCUCCAGCCACAGUGUAUCGCCACCGGAGGACGCGUUCGUCGCCACCAAGGACGCCAUGGAGUUCUCUGUCCCUCUACGUGUCCAGGUGUAUCUACCCGGAGCCCGGAACGAGUGCACUGUCGAAGUCCGAACCGCUGUGCACCGUUCUUCUCCGACUCCGGCGACCACCCAGCCUCUGUUUCCGAUUGUCCGGAGUAUCAAGCGGAUCGGAAUUAAUAGUUAGACUACUUCAACAGCGUUCAAGGCAAGUUACACUUUUUGAUUAUGCUCAUCUUAUAUUCUGCUAUGCAUGUGUCGUUUAUGCUAUGAUAUAUAUAUUUGGCCUGAUAUGUGUAUCCCGUGUUGUCAUGUUUUGGUAUUGAUUGUUGUGAUGGUGUGAUCAACUUGCUAUGGUAGACGUGGGCAUUUGUCGAGUGAUCCAUGGAAAUGGUGAGUGUUUAUAGUCAUAGGCUUAGGAUUAUUAACCAGGUGAAUGCGUCACUCGCAGAGCACUCUAUUGUCCCUAGAGAAUGCGCCAUUGACAGAGCGCACUUGAGGCGAGGUAUAGUUUUCGGAACUUAAAUCAGGUGAAUGCGUCCUUGGCAGAGCGCUCUAUUGUUCCUAGAGAAUGCACCAUUGAUAGAGUGCACUUGAGAGAUACUUCUGAAGUUCUUGUCAUGUUUAUUUAGAAUCUUUGGGUUAUCUUGGGCGAGUAAAUUAGGGACGGUUGUGUGUUCAGGUAGUGGAGGUAGGUGAAGACAUUCUUCUCCAAAUUAACUUGAGUGUUUUGUUUGUCAUACUUUACUUGUGGAUGUAGGUUUGCUAUAUCAUACUGUGUGAUUUGCCAAUACAUUCAAUGUAUUGACCCUUUGUGGUUGCAAUUUAUCAUGUUGCAUGAUUUUUAUAUGAUCAGUGAGAUACAAUAGGGUCGCGAGUCUUCACUCAACAUGUUCUGCAGUGGGCAUUGAUGGACUCAUCAUUUAUUAUGCUACCAUUCCGCUGUUAUUAUUGAAUAAGUUAGCCAUGUGCUAUUCAGUUUGUAAUACUUUAUAAAUUCUGGAUCAUACGUUGUAGUAAAUGAUGCACUCUUGUUAUUUGAUAUUCAUAUGUACUGUGUGUGCUAGCGAGUCGAUCCAGGGACUAGCACAGCGAGCACAAAGACAUCCGAAUCUAGUUAUUGUAAUAAAGUUUCUUCUAGUUGGACUAACGAGCCUCCAGAUUGUCUAGUGAGCAAACUUGUAGAUGAUGUAUCUCUACUGAUUAAUCAAUAAAGCUAGCCAUGAUAGCCUAACCUAAAAAAAUCACAGACAUGUAUACCGAUGCGGACACUCUUUUUCGGUGAAAAAAAUCAAACAAUUUUGGAGGCUUUAUGGGAGUUUGGACAAUAGCCACGUAGAACUCCAAAACCCCAGCCCGCCCAAAAACCCUUCCGGACUCGCGCAUCCAUCCAUCUUUCUGUGCAUCCAUUUUCUCUCUUGCAUCCGCCGCCCAAAAAAUAAUAGAUACAUUGGAGACGUAUCUAUAAUUUUUUUGUUAUUUCAUGCUAUUAUGUUAUCAAUAUUGGAUACUUUGUAUGACUUCUUGUGCUAUUUUAUAUCAUUUUUGAAGACUAAUCUAUAAACCCAGUGCCUAGUGUCGGUUGAUGUUCUCUACUUAUUCUUGGUUUUUCAGAAAAUCAGUACCAAACGGAGUCCAAACGCUACGAAACUCGUUGACGUUUUUUCUGAACAAAAGAGACCCUAGAAGUUUCGAGGGGAGACCAGACGGCAAUCGAGGAGACGGCUAGGGCUGGGCGUUCGGUUUAUAUGGCUAAUAUGGUUUGGUUUAUUCGGUUUUCUAUAAUUUCGGUUUUGAAGAAAUGGAAACCGAAAUAAUCACACAAAAUUUAGAAACCGAACCAUAUUACCCAUAAUAUAUUGGUUUGGUUUAUUCGGUUAAUCGAAAAACCAAAAUACAUGCACUCACUAGUAUAAGUGUAAUGACUCAUGAGCACUGAUUGCAUUGUAUAGAAUGCAUAAA